rnacentral:rRNA from 1 species
GAUCCUGGCUCAGGAUGAACGCUAGCGACAGGCUUAACACAUGCAAGUCGAGGGGCAUCAUGAGGUAGCAAUACCUUGAUGGCGACCGGCGCACGGGUGGGUAACGCGUAUGCAACCUGCCCGAUACCGGGGUAUAGCCCAUGGAAACGUGGAUUAACACCCCAUAGUACUUUUAUCCUGCAUGGGAUGUGAGUUAAAUGUUCAAGGUAUCGGAUGGGCAUGCGUCCUAUUAGUUAGUUGG